rnacentral:rRNA from 1 species
UACAGAGGUCUCAAGCGUUGUUCGGAUUCAUUGGGCUUAAAGGGUGCGUAGGCGGCGCGGUAAGUCGGGUGUGAAAUCUCGGGGCUUAACUCCGAAACUGCAUUCGAUACUGCCGUGCUUGAGGACUGGAGAGGAGACUGGAAUUUACGGUGUAGCGGUGAAAUGCGUAGAUAUCGUAAGGAAGACCAGUGGCGAAGGCGGGUCUCUGGACAGUUCCUGACGCUGAGGCACGAAGGUCAGGGGAGCAAACGGG